UACGUAGGGGGCUAGCGUUGUCCGGAAUCAUUGGGCGUAAAGCGCGUGUAGGCGGUCCGGUAAGUCCGCUGCGAAAGUCGGGGGCUCAACCCUCGGAUGCCGGUGGAUACUGUCGGGCUUGAGUACGGAAGAGGCGAGUGGAAUUCCUGGUGUAGCGGUGAAAUGCGCAGAUAUCAGGAAGAACACCUAUGGCGAAGGCAGCUCUCUGGGACGGUACUGACGCUGAGACGCGAAAGCGUGGGGAGCGAACAGG
rnacentral:rRNA from 1 species